UUCCGGUUGAUCCUGCCGGACCUGACUGCUAUCGGAUUGAUACUAAGCCAUGCGAGUCAUUGUAGCAAUACAAGGCAUACGGCUCAGUAACGCGUAGUCAACCUACCCUAUGGACGGAAAUAACCUCGGGAAACUGAGAAUAAUAUCCGAUAGAACAUUAUGCCUGGAAUGGUUUAUGUUCCAAAUGAUUUAUCGCCGUAGGAUGGGACUGCGGCCUAUCAGUUUGUUGGUGAGGUAAUGGCCCACCAARACUAUUACAGGUACGGGCUCUGAGAGGAGUAGCCCGGAGAUGGGUACUGAGACACGGACCCAGGCCCUAUGGGGCGCAGCAGGCGAGAAAACUUUGCAAUGUGCGAAAGCACGACAAGGUUAAUCCGAGUGAUUUCUGCUAAAGAAAUCUUUUGUUAGUCCUAGAAACACUAACGAAUAAGGGGUGGGCAAGUUCUGGUGUCAGCCGCCGCGGUAAAACCAGCACCUCAAGYGGUCAGGAUGAUUAUUGGGCCUAAAGCAUCCGUAGCCGGCUCUGUAAGUCCUCGGUUAAAUCUGUACGCUUAACGUACAGGCUGCCGGGAAUACUGCAUAGCUAGGGAGUGGGAGAGGUAGACGGUACUCGGUAGGAAGGGGUAAAAUCCUUUGAUCUAUUGAUGACCACCUGUGGCGAAGGCGGUCUACCAGAACACGUCCGACGGUGAGGGAUGAAAGCUGGGGGAGCAAACCGGAUUAGAUACCCGGGUAGUCCCAGCUGUAAACUAUGCAAACUCAGUGAUGCAUUGGCUUGUGGCCAAUGCAGUGCUGCAGGGAAGCCGUUAAGUUUGCCGCCUGGGAAGUACGUACGCAAGUAUGAAACUUAAAGGAAUUGGCGGGGGAGCACCACAAGGGGUGAAGCCUGCGGUUCAAUUGGAGUCAACGCCGG
rnacentral:rRNA from 2 species